rnacentral:rRNA from 1 species
UACGGAGGGGACUAGCGUUGUUCGGAAUUACUGGGCGUAAAGCGCACGUAGGCGGAUUGUUAAGUCAGGGGUGAAAUCCCGGAGCUCAACUCCGGAACUGCCUUUGAUACUGGCAAUCUAGAGUCCGGAAGAGGUGAGUGGAACUCCUAGUGUAGAGGUGGAAUUCGUAGAUAUUAGGAAGAACACCAGUGGCGAAGGCGGCUCACUGGUCCGGUACUGACGCUGAGGUGCGAAAGCGUGGGGAGCAAACA